rnacentral:rRNA from 1 species
AUGAACGCUGGCGGCGUGCCUAAUACAUGCAAGUCGAGCGAACGGACGAGAAGCUUGCUUCUCUGAUGUUAGCGGCGGACGGGUGAGUAACACGUGGAUAACCUACCUAUAAGACUGGGAUAACUUCGGGAAACCGUAGCUAAUACCGGAUAAUAUUUUGAACCGCAUGGUUCAAAAGUGAAAGACGGUCUUGCUGUCACUUAUAGAUGGAUCCGCGCUGCAUUAGCUAGUUGGUAAGGUAACGGCUUACCAAGGCAACGAUGCAUAGCCGACCUGAGAGGGUGAUCGGCCACACUGGAACUGAGACACGGCCCAGACUCCUACGGGAGGCAGCAGUAGGGAAUCUUCCGCAAUGGGCGAAAGCCUGACGGAGCAACGCCGCGUGAGUGAUGAAGGUCUUCGGAUCGUAAAACUCUGUUAUUAGGGAAGAACAUAUGUGUAAGUAACUGUGCACAUCUUGACGGUACCUAAUCAGAAAGCCACGGCUAACUACGUG